UGAAAAUACAAAUAACAGUCUAUUUACUGACCUAUUUGUAGAACAACUGUAAAACGUUGAGCGGUAUCUUCCAUAAACAUUUCAGUAUCAAAUUAAAGUAUGUCGAAUCAACUAAAAUAUAUGCAUAACAAAAGGAAAUAACCAUUCGUACAUUGCCGUCAACGAUCGACUCAUUCUGAAUUUUGUCACAACAACGUGAAUUACUGAACACUAAUGGAAGAAGGUAUUCAAGAAAGACAAAAUUUUUCUUACGCAGUAAUAAGACCUUCAAAUCAACAGAAUUCCUCAUAUGUUCCUGCCAAACCUACAAAUAAAACAGACCCUUCUUGCAGUACUGUUACUAAGCAACCAGUGAUUACCACUAGAAGACCCCCAGCUUUUGGGCAGAUUGUGAAGAAACAAGUAUGGGUAGAAGAAAAGUCGAACAUUCCUGGUGUAGUUCCAGGACUGCAGUAUCUUACAUCUCUUGAUCAAGUAUUCGUCAAACAACAUAUUGACAUGAUGGAAGCAAUGUGGGAAAAAGCAAACAAGUACAAAAUACUAAACAACCAAAGCGAACAAGUUUACUUUGUGUCUGAAGAGUCCGAUAAAUGGAACAGACAAUUUCAAGGACCAGACCGAGGAUUCAAUCUUCGUGUAUUUGACAAUACAUCUCAGGAGGUUAUGCGUUUCUCUAGAGAACACAUAUGUUGCGCUGGAUGUUGUUGUGGUUAUUGUGUAAGUCUUCGUCAAGUUCUGACCGUAGAGGCACCAGUCGGGGAAGUAAUUGGAUACGUUCGACAGGAGUUUAAAAAAUCUGGACCUUGCUAUUCAGUAAGAGAUGCAGAAGAUACCAUCGUUUAUAAGAUUACUGGACCUUGCUGUGUAUGCGACUGUCCCUGCAAUAGAGUUAGAUUUCCGAUAGUGUCAGCAGACGACACAGAGGAAGUUGGUGUAAUCAGCAAAAAUCUUGGUAUAGAAAAUUAUUUCGGAGAUGCUGAUACGUUUGGUGCAAAGUUUCCACAAGAUCUUGAUGAAAAAAUCAAAGCAGUCCUGCUUGGGGCAAUCAUGUUAAUCGACUUCAGCCAUUUUGAACAAGGACAACAACACUAUUAAAGAGCAAGACUUCAGCCAUUUUGAACAAGGACAACAACACUAUUAAAGAGCAAGGCUGUACUAAUCUCCUUUUGGAAGACCGACCAAUAGAGAAAGAUUGAAUAGUAACCCUAUAAAUAAGUUGUCAUUUUACUUGGAACAUUGUUUUGUAUGUUGUAAUGUGUUACUUUCACCUUAUAUUGACGAAAAAAAACAGUGUGCUUGCCUUGAAUGUUGUGUACAAAGUCAGGAAUAUGACAAUCAUUUUCACAGUUAUUCCUUUGGUUUAUAUAAUCGAACGUUUUGAUUUGUCAGAAUUUAUCUUGUAGUUCGUUAUUUUUAUUAUUGCGUCUUUUGCAUUAGUUUUUUUAAGGAAUGACUGUAAUAUUUUUUUCUGUCUAAAUAUUACAGUCAUUUCUUAUAAUUUAAUUCUAAAUUUCAUUUUAAACCGGAGUAAACCAUGAAAAAACGUUGAUGACGUCACGGUCACAUGACAAAAUAGUUUAUGAGCUGAUAAACAAAACAACGUCAGCCAAUCAGAAGACGCGUUACAUCCAAAAUUAAAUUAUUGAUUUAUAGAGUAACAGUCUUUAUAAAGAAGAUCGAUUCAGUCGUUGGUUGCCUUUGAUUGUAUUUAUUUUUCGUUUAAUGUUUUGCACAACAAUCAGAUUCACGCAUUCAAAAAUGAUAAAGGACACAGGUGUGUUUCAACAAAGAAAUUUAUUUAUAAUAUAACAUUUUUCAAUGAAAACCAACAGCGUGAUUGUUGUACAAAACAUUAAACGAAAAAUAAAUACAAUCAAAUGCAACCAACGACAACCACUGAAUUACACGCUAUUGACUUGGGACAGGAACCUACAAAAUAUGGCAGGGUUAAAUUUUUUGCAAGCGCUCAGUCCUCCCACUAACCUGGAACAGUGUUAUAACAGCACAAGAUUGUUGAAUUUCUAUUAAUAUGUUUUUAAAAUGUCGCAAGGUGGCUGGAGUAUUAUUUUUGACUUUUGUCAGAUUGUCUGAAAUUUUGGCAAAUACAUCAGCUAACUAUACAACCAGGUUUAAUCUACCAUUUUCGUCAUAAGGAAAUGCCUGUACCAAGUCAGGAAUAUGGCAGUUGUUUUUUCGUUCGUUUGAUUUUGCCAUUUUAUAAGGGACGUUCCGUUUUGAAUUGAAUGUUGUGUACCAAGUCAGGAAUAUGACAAUCAUUUUUCACAGUCAUUCGGCAUUUUUGUUAUUUUACUUUUUGCGAUAAAGUAUAUCAUUCAUAUAUGUAGGUAAUCAAACAAUCUGUACGUAUUUAUGUAUAAUACCGCUAUCAUUAUCAAGGUCUUUCUCGUGCCAUAGUUAACAUGUUAAAUACUCGUAUCGACCUUAUUGUCCUGAAGUUGUUUGGUUUAUAAGACUUGUGCUAUAUUUUAUUUGUUUGCCAAUUAAGUUUGAUACUUAUGUGUUUUUGUCAACAAUAUUGUGUAUUGUAUAUGGUUGAAAAAUAUAUUAAAUAGACAAUCUUCAUUUUUUUA